GCCUCCCUCCCUGAGCCUUUGGGGCCUGAUAUUUUGGGAAUGAUCCCAAUCAGUGCCUGUUGACAUAAAUAAACCUCCUCCAAAUCCUGGGUGUUGUUUUGGUGUUUCUGUUUACCACUGCACCUGCUAUAUCAGCUGGGAAGAGUGACUCUGCUGACCCCUUUGGCCAUUGGUUGUGGCCCUGACAGAUGGAGCAAGGACGUCUCCAGAUCCUGAUGGGAAAGUACACCCUUGAGCUUUCUGAAGUCCCCUCAGAAGUCUGGAGGAAGAUUCCUUGCUCUUUGCUUGAGUGGCUUACAUUGGACCCCAAAGGGAGGAGGAUACAGUCUGUCUGUCUGUCUGCCUGUCUGCCUGAUUCUGGUCAAAGUAAAACAUGAUGGGCCACCUGCCAGCCCUGAGCACAGUCACAAGCCCAGGAAGUUCAAUGGUGCCCCUAUGCUCUGCGCACUCUGGAUGAUGCUGGUUUUCAGGCAACAUCGGAACAGAUCUGGAAUCAGACCUCAACAACAAGCCCUGUUCAGAUCAUCCCAGGAACCCUCAGGGAUUCUCUAGCAGCUGUGAGCAGUCCCUUCUUGCUGUCAUUAUGUUUUAUUCCCUCACCUGGUUAAAAGUCAGUUUAAUGAAACCCUGGCUCUGUUAAACCAGAAAUUAUUUUGUCAGUAGAGGCUGUCUGAUAUGCCGCUGCUGACAAAUUCUUUCUUUAGUCUGAUUUGCUUUCGAUGAGCUACAAGCUACAAUGAAAAGUCAUCAAUAAACAUUUAGAAUCAACAGUAUCAACUCUUAGAGUUGAAAAUUCAAACCUUCCUCCUUGCAAAUAAAAAUGAGAUCCUGGAAAGCUAAACUGGUUUCUCAAGGUCAUCUAAUUCAUUAGAACUUGAGGCCUUUGGCUAUAUUCUUCCCAUAGUGUUAGCUCUUUUCCUGUUGAAAUUCAUGGCAAAUCAGGGUCUCUAGAAAAUUACUGUUCUUUCAGACUAUUCUCCCACCAUGUAGUGACUAAAAAUGGUUAAUUCUCCUCCCCUGGAGAGGCCUGACUUCACAGACCAGGCAUAGGUCACCAUUAGGUUUGUGCCUCAAUCCUGAUCAUACAUCCAGAUUUAUUUCCUAUCAGUCAAAUCAUUUUCCAUAUACUUUCCCACAAUGCUAGGAAAAAAAUAGCCAUACUGUAUUUCACAUGGAAACCUAAUUUAAACCAACUGUUCCAUCACUGUGAGUGAGUCCCCAAGGGCCUCUCGUCAUGGAGAUUAUGUAAGCAAUGUUAUUAUAUACACACACACACACACACACACACACACACACACACAUCUGCUUACAAACUCUAGGAAUA
rnacentral:lncRNA from 1 species